GAUAAAAUUUCGAAUUAACAUGAAUGAGGAAGUAAAAGACGAUACUGCCACAACGAUUUUAAGAUAUAUUACUAUGAGUUGCUGUAUAUUGUAUGUGCAAAUAAUACUCUUUUGAAUGGUACUGAAACUGUCAUAAUGAAGUACAUUCGGCAGUGUGUUAUACCGCUGCUAUUUGUGAUUACGUGUGUUCAUUCAAGCCAUUUUCGGGGAGGAUUGUUAACCUGGACAGCCGUGAAUGAAACAGAGAUAACAGUGUACCACCGAAUUUCAUAUGUACAGAGUUCUUGCUCCGGUAACUCCCGAAAUGACCCUCUGACGUGUUAUUCCGGGUGUAGCGGUAGUUUUACAAUGGUUGGAUAUUGCAUCAACAUGAAUUCGAUGGAAAAUUGGGUAGAUGCUGAAGGUGAAACCAGUUUAACCAUCACUAAUCCAACUUCUACUACAUACAAUAUUGGCUAUUCAAGUGGAGCUUGGAUUAGUUUAGUAAACGGAGGAGGCUCUUGGAGCUUACGGAUGACAGUUAACGUUACUACUCGGUCUGAUACCGGAAAAAUUAACCAGUCUCCUGUUUCUGCAAUGGCGUCAUCAGUCAUACUCCCUACCUGCAGUAAUCAGGAAAUUAUAAUACCAGUGACGGACUACGACGGAGAUGAAGUACGCUGUCGUUUGGCGAAUACAACAGACGAGUGUAAUGGGAUUUGUAACUCGCCUUCUUUCCUUUCAUUGUCAGAGCAAACGUGUACUUUGACGUCCAGUGGUUCUACCGCAGGAGAUUACGCGGUAGCAAUACAGAUAGAAGAUUUCACAGAUUCAUCUUCAACUUCUGCAUUAAGCAGUGUUCCUUUACAGUUUGUUAUCAACGUUAAUACAACUGGUUCCUGUUCCAUAACACCAACCUUCGCAACUCCUCCAACACCAGCAAACGGAGCCAUUAUACAAGUGAACAGUUCUUCGUUGGAGUUUAAAGCAAGAGUCAUUGUGUACGAUACUGCUGUGCAGAUUACCAAAUUCCAUAUUUUGUCGCCUCUGAAUUUUACAAUAUCAGCAAUUUCAAUCCCCGCAAGUUCUGAAUACGAAGUCAACAUAUCAUGGAUAUCAACAGCUGCGGAUAAAGUAGGAACAUAUGUCUUGUGUAUCUCAGCGGAAACAAAUACUCGCCUUUCCUCUGAAUCCCGAUGUAUUACAGUGGCCAUUACAGCCAAUUGCAUCCCUGGAGUCAAUGAUACCAACUGCACGGAAAAUAUAAAUGAAUGUGCGACGGAACCGUGUCAGAACAAUGGAACAUGUACAGAUCAAAUUAAUAGCUACGAAUGUCAAUGUGUUGCGGGAUUUAAUGGGACUAACUGCGAGAAUGAUAUAGAUGAAUGUGCGACGGAACCUUGUCAGAACAAUGGAACAUGCACAGAUCAAAUUGAUAGCUACGAAUGUCAAUGUGUUGCGGGGUUUAAUGGGACUAACUGCGAGAAUGAUAUAGAUGAAUGUGCGGCGGAACCUUGUCAGAACAAUGGAACAUGCACAGAUCAAAUUGAUAGCUACGAAUGUCAAUGUGUUGCGGGGUUUAAUGGGACUAACUGUGAGAAUAAUAUAGAUGAAUGUACGGCGGAACCUUGUCAGCACAAUGGAACAUGCACAGAUCAAAUUAAUAGCUACGAAUGUAAAUGUGUUGCGGGGUUUAAUGGGACUAACUGCGAGAAUGAUAUAGAUGAAUGUGCGGCGGAACCUUGUCAGAACAAUGGAACAUGCACAGAUCAAAUUGAUAGCUACGAAUGUCAAUGUGUUGCGGGAUUUAAUGGGACUAACUGUGAGAAUAAUAUAGAUGAAUGUGCGACGGAACCGUGUCAGAACAAUGGAACAUGCACAGAUCAAAUUGAUAGCUACGAAUGUCAAUGUGUUGCGGGAUUUAAUGGGACCAACUGCGAGAAUGAUAUAGAUGAAUGUGCGCCGGAACCUUGUCAGAACAAUGGGACAUGCACAGAUCAAAUUGAUAGCUACGAAUGUCAAUGUGUUGCGGGAUUUAAUGGGACUAACUGUGAGAAUAAUAUAGAUGAAUGUGCGACGGAACCUUGUCAGAACAAUGGAACAUGCACAGAUCAAAUUGAUAGCUACGAAUGUCAAUGUGUUGCGGGAUUUAAUGGGACUAACUGCGAGAAUGAUAUAGAUGAAUGUUCGGCGGAACCUUGUCAGAACAAUGGAACAUGCACAGAUCACAUUGAUAGCUAUGAAUGUCAAUGUGUUGCGGGAUUUAAUGGGAGUAGCUGUGAGAAUAAUAUAGAUGAAUGUGCGACGGAACCGUGUCAGAACAAUGGAACAUGCACAGAUCAAAUUGAUAGCUAUGAAUGUCAAUGUGUUGCGGGAUUUAAUGGGACUAACUGCGAGAAUGAUAUAGAUGAAUGUGCGGCGGAACCUUGUCAGAACAAUGGAACAUGCACAGAUCAAAUUGAUAGCUACGAAUGUCAAUGUGUUGCGGGAUUUAAUGGGACUAACUGUGAGAAUAAUAUAGAUGAAUGUGCGACGGAACCGUGUCAGAACAAUGGAACAUGCACAGAUCAAAUUGAUAGCUACGAAUGUCAAUGUGUUGCGGGAUUUAAUGGGACUAACUGUGAGAAUAAUAUAGAUGAAUGUGCGACAGAACCUUGUCAGAACAAUGGAACAUGCACAGAUCAAAUUGAUAGCUACGAAUGUCAAUGUGUUGCAGGAUUUAAUGGGACUGACUGCGAGAAUGAUAUAGAUGAAUGUGCGGCGGAACCUUGUCAGAACAAUGGAACAUGCACAGAGCAAAUUGAUAGCUACGAAUGUCAAUGUGUUGCGGGAUUUAAUGGGACUAACUGUGAGAAUAAUAUAGAUGAAUGUGCGACAGAACCUUGUCAGAACAAUGGAACAUGCACAGAUCAAAUUGAUAGCUACGAAUGUCAAUGUGUUGCAGGAUUUAAUGGGACUGACUGCGAGAAUGAUAUAGAUGAAUGUGCGGCGGAACCUUGUCAGAACAAUGGAACAUGCACAGAGCAAAUUGAUAGCUACGAAUGUCAAUGUGUUGCGGGAUUUAAUGGGACUAACUGUGAGAAUAAUAUAGAUGAAUGUGCGACAGAACCUUGUCAGAACAAUGGAACAUGCACAGAUCAAAUUGAUAGCUACGAAUGUCAAUGUGUUGCAGGAUUUAAUGGGACUGACUGCGAGAAUGAUAUAGAUGAAUGUGCGGCGGAACCUUGUCAGAACAAUGGAACAUGCACAGAGCAAAUUGAUAGCUACGAAUGUCAAUGUGUUGCGGGAUUUAAUGGGACUAACUGUGAGAAUAAUAUAGAUGAAUGUGCGGCGGAACCUUGUCAUAACAAUGGAACAUGCACAGAUCAAAUUGAUAGCUACGAAUGUCAAUGUGUUGCGGGAUUUAAUGGGACUAACUGCGAGAAUGAUAUAGAUGAAUGUGCGGCGGAACCUUGUCAGAACAAUGGAACAUGCACAGAGCAAAUUGAUAGCUACGAAUGUCAAUGUGUUGCGGGAUUUAAUGGGACUAACUGUGAGAAUAAUAUAGAUGAAUGUGCGGCGGAACCUUGUCAGAACAAUGCAACAUGCACAGAUCAAAUUGAUAGCUACGAAUGUCAAUGUGUCCCUGGAUUUAAUGGGACUAACUGCGAAAUUAAUAUAGAUGAAUGUGCGGUGGAACCUUGUCAGAACAAUGGAACAUGUACAGAUCAAAUUGAUAGCUACGAAUGUCAAUGUGUUGCUGGAUUUAAUGGGACAAACUGCGAAAAUAACAUGGAUGAAUGUGCUGGAGAUCCUUGUGAAAAUAACGGAACGUGUGCGGACCUUGUAAAUGACUACCAGUGUGUUUGUCUCCCUGGUUUUGCAGAGAAAAACUGCUCAACAAAUAUCGAUGAGUGUAUUGACGGACCAUGCGAGAAUAAUGGAACCUGUGUAGACCUCAUCAACGAUUACCAUUGCGAAUGUGUAAUGGGAUUCAACGGGAAAAACUGUACAGACGAUAUCAAUGAAUGUACUGAUAAACCCUGUGAGAACAAUGGAUCAUGUGUGGAUCUCAUUAAUGGUUACGAAUGUCAAUGUGUGCCAGGAUUUAAUGGAACCAACUGCACUCAAAAUAUCGAUGAAUGUACUGAUAAACCUUGUGAAAACAAUGGAACAUGUGUGGACCUCAUUAAUGCUUACGAAUGUCAAUGUGUGUCAGGAUUUAAUGGAACCAACUGCACGGAAAAUAUAGAUGAAUGUUCGACAGAGCCUUGUCAGAACAAUGGGACAUGCACGGAUCAAAUUGAUACCUACGAAUGUAAAUGUGUUCUUGGAUAUAAUGGAACUAACUGCGAAAAUAAUAUUGACGAAUGUUAUGGAGAUCCUUGUCAAAAUAAUGGAACGUGUGUGGACCUUAUCAACAACUACCAGUGUGCUUGUGUCCCUGGUUAUGCAGACACAAACUGUUCAACAAAUAUCGAUGAGUGUUUUGACGGACCAUGCCAGAAUAAUGGAACUUGUGUAGACCUCAUCAACGAUUACCAGUGUGAAUGUGUGAUGGGAUUCAACGGCAAAAACUGUACAGACGAUAUCGAUGAAUGUAUUGAUGAACCUUGUGAGAACAAUGGAACAUGCGUGGAUCUCAUUAAUGCUUACGAAUGUCAAUGUGCGCCAGGAUUUAAUGGAACCAACUGCACGGAAAAUAUAAAUGAAUGUGCGACAGAGCCUUGUCAGAAUAAUGGGAAUUGCACAGAUCAAAUUGAUACCUACGAAUGUAAAUGUGUUCCGGGAUAUAAUGGAACUAACUGCGGGAAUAAUAUUAACGAAUGUUAUGGAGAUCCUUGUCAAAAUAAUGGAACGUGUGUAGACCUUAUCAACAACUACCAGUGUGUUUGUGUCCCUGGUUAUGCAGACACAAACUGUUCAACAAAUAUCGAUGAGUGUUUUGACGGACCAUGCCAGAAUAAUGGAACUUGUGUAGACCUCAUCAACGAUUACCAGUGUGAAUGUGUGAUGGGAUUCAACGGCAAAAACUGUACAGACGAUAUCGAUGAAUGUAUUGAUGAACCUUGUGAGAACAAUGGAACAUGCGUGGAUCUCAUUAAUGCUUACGAAUGUCAAUGUGCGCCAGGAUUUAAUGGAACCAACUGCACGGAAAAUAUCGAUGAGUGUUUUGACGGACCAUGCCAGAAUAAUGGAACCUGUGUAGACCUCAUCAACGAUUACCAAUGUGAAUGUGUGAUAGGAUUCAACGGCAAAAACUGUACAGACGAUAUCGAUGAAUGUAUUGAUAAACCUUGUGAGAACAAUGGAACAUGCGUGGAUCUCAUUAAUGCUUACGAAUGUCAAUGUGUGCCUGGAUUUAAUGGAACCAACUGCACGGAAAAUAUAAAUGAAUGUGCAAUGGAACCUUGUCAGAACAAUGGGACAUGCACAGAUCAAAUUGAUACCUACGAAUGUAAAUGUGUUCCGGGAUAUAAUGGAACUAACUGCGAAAAUAAUAUCGAUGAAUGUGCUGGAGAUCCCUGUCAAAACAAUGGAACGUGUGUGGACCUUGUAAAUGACUACCUGUGUGUUUGUCUUUCUGGUUUUUCAGACACAAACUGCUCAACAAAUAUCGAUGAAUGUAUUGAUAAACCUUGUGAAAACAAUGGAACAUGCUUGGAUCACAUUAAUGGUUAUAAAUGUCAAUGUCUGUCGGGAUUUAAUGGAACCAACUGCACAGCAAAUAUAAAUGAAUGUGGCGUGAAACCAUGUCUGAACAAUGGAACCUGUACUGAUAUGAUCAAUGGCUAUAGCUGCCAAUGUGAUGUUGAAUAUAGUGGAACUAAUUGUUCAGAAAGAUCAAAUUUGACGAAAUAUAAUACGAUGUUAACAAUGGAUGUGAGCAUAACAGAGAAUUUGACAAUACAAGAAGAAUACAUCAUCGUAAAGACUAAGGUCCAGAAAACGAUAUCAGAUAUUUACAGUGCCAUAGUUCAGGGAUCGAAAGUUGUCAUAAACAGCGUAAGUACAGGCAGUUUAAUCGUCAAUUUCGAUCUCAUCAUACCAGACAAUUUGGAAUCAAAGGUUCUCGUCGUGGACACCGUGUAUAAACUUGUCAAUGGUUUGAUCCUCGUUAACUAUUCAGGAGAAGUGGUGAACGUGACGUCUGCAACUCUACAACAUUCAUCCCACGGCGCCGUUAUUAUCACAAAUUCAAGUGACGGAUGCUCUGUUAUGGACUCACAAAAUGUCUGCGUAGCCGGAUAUACCUGCCAUGAAUUUACCAAUUACACAGUUGCUUGCAUUCCUAUCAUUAGUGAGUACAAUUUCAUUUAGAUUUUCUAAAAUUUGGUGUGUUUUUUUUUCAUGAUCUUUAAACGAUGAAUUGUAUGCAUUCAUGUACAUUGCAUAUUAAAUUUAAAAACAUACUAUCCUUUUUUCAUAUCCAAAGCAAUUCUGUUUAAUUUGAUAUUAUACUCUGAUAUCGGCUUCGAAUUACACCAGUGUGAAAGCAGUGUGUGUGAGUUGUGUGUAGUCAUUGUGUCACGUAUCGCUUUGUGUUUUUAUCUAUAACUCAUUUUCUUGAUUGAUGUUUAUUUUAGCUUUGUUCUUUUAAACAACUAUGUUGUAUUAUCUUUAUGUGUUUUAUAAAUUAUCAAAUACAAUAAAAAUCGAUUUCACGCCAUUCCAAUGUAAUAACAUAAGUAAGUUGUCCCACCACAUAUACUGUUAACGUUUGUUGUUUCUAUUUCAGGUUGUGAGGAGUUGAAAAUAGUGUUAGCUUUAAACCUAUCUAGGGAAAUCAUUUAAUUGUAUUUCCAUCACUUCGAAAGAUAUGAUAAUGCUAGAUUUGAUAUGUACUUUUACAUGAGCAUGUGUUUCUGUCCAUCAUCAGUACACGUGUUAUACAGUAUCGCACACUACAGGUAAUGUUUCCAAACAAACUCCGUGUUGUAACAUGGCAAACAAGGAUCGGGUGAGAAUUGUUCGGUAAGAAGUAUCAACGGAGUUUAGUUCCAUUGGGUUUUGCCAAAUAGGAUACAAUUAUAUUAUACAUGCAUGUUAUAUCUGAUUAUCGAUAGCCAAGAGUUAUAGUACUUUAAACGAAAUAUUUGAAGUAGUUUUUAACAUGCUAUAUUUCUUCUUCAGAGUAUGUGUGACCACUAUCUACACAACAAUGCGCCAAAAAUGCUGUCGACGUCUCCAUAUUGCCAAAAUUUCAUUACAUUACAGAUACGUUUCAAAAUGACGUCACUUCUUUGUCGUUUAUGAUGUCGUGUGGUUGUGAAACCAGUAUAUGACGCGGAAAACAUCAGUGAUUAAAUUGAUAUAAAUUUCAAUGUGAUAUAGAUGUAUUUAAUAUGAUUGAUUAAUUUGUUUUCUUUUACGCCCCGUCGAAAUAUUCAAUAUGAAAAUAGAUAAAUAGAUUGAAUAUUGAAUAUUCCUUUCGAGAAUAUCUCACUCAUAUGGGGACGUCACCAUUGCCGGUAUAAGGCUGCAAAGGUUAGGUCUAUGCCCGACGCUUGUGGUCUUUGAACAGGGAAGGAUCUCUAUCGUGCCACUUCUGCUGUGACACAGGAUCUCGAUUUUUGCGGUCUCAUCCAAAGAACCGCCCUAUUUAAUCACCUCUUACAACAAUCAAAGGUUACUGGAGACCUACUCUAACCCGGAUCUCCACGGGAAAUUGAAUUGUUUAUCAAAUAACAUCAAAUGCGAUUUUCUAGAUUAGCUAUCAGGAAUGGAGGUAAUAUCUACUCAGUUUAUACGAUAUAUUUAAGGUGUUGGAUUAAUUACACUCAAUUCAACUGUACCAAAAAUGCUGUUUUUUACUCUAGUAUUUUCUUGCAGUUUCGUGUAUCAAAUGUAGAAUCUCCAUUUUACUUUUCCAUCUGACUUUUCAAAACCCAGUAAGGUGGGAUAUGCUAGAUCAUUAGCUAUCUGGUUUGUUUGCAGUACAUUUCGGCAUUCGUGUCUGACGUCAGCUUGCUUGACAACUAUCUCACAUAGACAGAUACAGGAUUCUGAAAAAAAAAUCACAUCUCCUACUAGGACCACAAAGCCAACGCCGAGGAACAAGAUCAGAAGUUUCCUGGGCCCAUAUCAUCCUAUUUUGACCGUUAUUAAGAACCGAUUGAAAUAGUUUUUCCAUGUCGCACAGUAUGCCAGUAUUUACGAGAACAUCUUGCAAACAUGGUACUAUUUGACGGUGAUUGCAAACAGGGUGGCGGUGUAGGAGUUAGUCAUAGAUUACAAUGCCGAAAUCUAGACCGCCAUUGCCAAGAAAUCAGCCUAGAGGAGACAACAUGCAUUAUGUACGAUGAUUGACUACUCUUACACCUUUGCAUACUGGAAAAAUCCCAUUACGAGUAUAUCAAUGUUAUUUCCAUAUGAAGAAAUCCGAUUACCAACAUUAAAUGACUUGUUCAGCAUCAUUCUGGGAAACAGAAAUUCCCAGCGUGCGACAAUUGAUAUGAUAUCUGCUUGCUGAAUACGAUCUCAUUUUCUGUAAACUCACCAGUUUCUGUGUGACUCACAUAACUUGGGGGGUUCUUGUUUCCCCUCUAACCACUCUAAUAUGGUUGCAAGAAAAUGGAAUGUUUUACAAUCUAUCAAACUGAAUACAAAAACUGAACACAACAAA